CCUCUCUCUCGAGCCCCCCUUGGGCCCUUCUCGCGCUCUCUCUCUUUCUCUGUGCGCGCCUUCGCCACCUCCGUCGCCCUCUCCAGAACCCUAAAAAUCUCAACUUCGAAGUCGCUGCGAUCGCGAUUCCUAUCUCGAAUCCGAGAAAAUUCAAAGCAGGGAACUCGAAGGACCAUGACCUUAUUGAGGAGGCCAAAGCCUUCCGAAACAUGCAAUUGCGAGGUUUACCUUAAACAUGAGGUCGAAAGGACUCGGUGAAGACGACAAUUGCUGCCUAACUUAAAAUCACUGUAAGCCUAGCAGAAGAACAUAUCUAAAAAACUAUGCGGUGGUACACCUUAAUAAUGCCCUGGGGUUUCUAAUAUAGUGAUCUAAUGCUCCUUGCCUACCUUUCAUGGGAGAAAGGAAAGCUGAUGGCGAAUGGCUCAAUGGUAGCAGAGAUUCUUUGGAAGAAGUCACGGCGGACAAAAUUCAAGUUUUAAGUCCUCACUUCAGAUGGCUUUGUUACCUGUUAUCAGGAUAAGGAGACAUCCCAACAUCAGCAGCUUGUGCUGCAGCUGACGAUAUCGACACUGUUCCUCGUCCUCUGAACUGGCGGUCAAUUAUGAUCGGACCGUGAUUGUUGUGAUUGGUGGGCUGAUGUUACACGGAGGCCACGUGGAGCGGCGAGAGAGGCGGGGGUCCGUCGCCCCGAAGCUGCGAUUGCACCCGUAUUACCAGUCCAUUUCAGUGUGAUGUUGCGGCAUAACUGCAUAAGAUGAGGGAACGGCGAGGAUGAAAUCGUAGUGUCAGGGAAUGGCGGGUGCUUAGGAUUUGACUCAUAUCAUGUUAUCUGCCAAAUCGAUGGAUCUGAUGUAAAAUAAUAUAGAAAUUAGCAAGCGCUCUUAAAAGUGGCUUAACGGGCCCUACGCUAAUUAAAAAAGAAAUUUAAGUUCUCUGUCUCUCAACAAUUCAUAGAAGUGAGAGUUCUCAGCUCUGCUUUGUAGUUUCUACAUUCUUUUUAAUGAAAAAAACGCAUUAUAUCUCUCUUUUUGUAUCAUCUUCCUCUUGAAUCUCUCUUUUUAUUAGGCAAUAAUAAAAUUAGAAUUUCUUCUUUAUAUAUUAUAUAGAAUUGAGCUCUUAUGCUUUUAAAAGUACAAGUUAUUGGUGCCGGUAGAUUUUUAAUCAUUGAAUUAAGGUAUGUACAAUUACGAUGAUGUGGGACCCCCUAGGGUUGAGUGGGUGAUUGGUUGAAUAGUAUGGUUUAACGGGUGAAAAUGAUCAAAAUGAUAGAUCUAAUGAUAAAAAAUUUAUAAGCAUCAAAUAUUUGGUACUUUUACAAGUGCCAUAGCCGAAGUUUGUUAGUUCUGAUGAAUGGUGAUCGAGUUUAAUGUAUUCUUCAUAAGUUAGUAUUCUUCAUAAGUUAGUAAGGUAAUUCUUUUUCAUUUUUUGUUUGACUAUUUAUCCAUGUAAUUAAUCAUUUAGUGGUAAGUGACAAGCCCUAUUGCACACAUGUUUUGGGCACACAUGACAACAAAAUUAAGCGGAUAAUUCCCCACACCCAAAACUUAGUAGUUGACUCGUGCAACCUAUUAAUACACUCCAAAACAACCACCUCCUCCUUUGGGAGAUGA